rnacentral:lncRNA from 1 species
GCUGCAUGUUUGUGCUGAGUGACAAAUUAAUAUAACCGCAUUGUGCAAUGAAUUUGGAAAAUAUUAGUAUUAAACAUAUUACAAUAGUAUUUGAGGCCUUCUGGAUAAAUUUUGCCUGGACUUUUGCUAUACAUUGGGAAUGGUUACUUUUGAAUGCAUCAACUGACAAUCUCAUUAUCAUCAUGCUCCGAACACAAAUCCCAGAGUCCAUCAUGCAUCUAUGG